rnacentral:rRNA from 1 species
GACGAACGCUGGCGGCGUGCCUAACACAUGCAAGUCGAACGGGGUAAAGAUCUUCGGUUUUUUACUUAGUGGCGAACGGGUGAGUAACGCGUGAGAAACCUGCCUUUCAGUGGGGGACAACAGUUGGAAACGACUGCUAAUACCGCAUAAUGUUAUUUGGGGGCAUCCCCGAAUAACCAAAGCUUUAUGUGCUGAAAGAUGGUCUCGUGUCAGAUUAGCUAGAUGGCGGGGUAACGGCCCACCAUGGCGACGAUCAGUAGCCGGUCUGAGAGGAUGAACGGCCACAUUGGGACUGAGAUACGGCCCAGACUCCUACGGGAGGCAGCAGUGGGGAAUAUUGGGCAAUGGGGGAAACCCUGACCCAGCAACGCCGCGUGAAGGAAGAAGGCCUUCGGGUUGUAAACUUCUUUUACCAGGGACGAAGAACGUGACGGUACCUGGAGAAAAAGCAACGGCUAACUACGUGCCAGCAGCCGCCGUAAAAC